GACGAACGCUGGCGGCGUGCUUAACACAUGCAAGUCGAACGGAAAGGCCCUGCUUUUGUGGGGUGCUCGAGUGGCGAACGGGUGAGUAACACGUGAGUAACCUGCCCUUGACUUUGGGAUAACUUCAGGAAACUGGGGCUAAUACCGGAUAGGAGCUCCUGCUGCAUGGUGGGGGUGGGAAAGUUUCGGCGGUUGGGGAUGGACUCGCGGCUUAUCAGCUUGUUGGUGGGGUAGUGGCUUACCAAGGCUUUGACGGGUAGCCGGCCUGAGAGGGUGACCGGCCACAUUGGGACUGAGAUACGGCCCAGACUCCUACGGGAGGCAGCAGUGGGGAAUAUUGCACAAUGGGCGGAAGCCUGAUGCAGCAACGCCGCGUGCGGGAUGACGGCCUUCGGGUUGUAAACCGCUUUCGCCUGUGACGAAGCGUGAGUGACGGUAAUGGGUAAAGAAGCACCGGCUAACUACGUA
rnacentral:rRNA from 1 species